AGCGAACGCUGGCGGCAUGCUUAACACAUGCAAGUCGCACGGGCGGGGGCAACUCUGUCAGUGGCGGACGGGUGAGUAACGCGUAGGUAUCUAUCCUUGGGUGGGGGACAACGGUUGGAAACGACUGCUAAUACCGCAUGAUAACUGAGGUUUAAAGGCGCAAGUCGCCUGAGGAGGAGCCUGCGUACGAUUAGCUAGUUGGUGGGGUAAAGGCCUACCAAGGCUAUGANCGUUAGCUGGUCUGAGAGGAUGAUCAGCCACAUUGGGGACUGAGACACGGCCCAAACUCCUACGGGAGGCAGCAGUGGGGAAUAUUGGACAAUGGGCGAAAGCCUGAUCCAGCAAUGCCGCGUGUGUGAAGAAGGUCUUCGGAUUGUAAAGCACUUUCGACGGGGGCGGAUGAUGACGGUACCCGUAGAAGAA
rnacentral:rRNA from 1 species